rnacentral:lncRNA from 1 species
CUUUAAGGCAGCAUGUUCAAGGUGCACGUCAAAAGUUCCACAAGUUUGUUCCCCCGACUUUCCCACUGACUCACCGCCUGACCAGAGACUGCUCACUGAAACUCCCUGGGCCGGUUUCAUGAUCAUGUGUAAAACAGGGUUAAUGAGAUCUGCUUCCCCAGGGCGCUGCAAGAACCAAGUUAUGGUUUGCAAAAGGCUUUGUGACUCAUACAUAAAAGGCUGUACAAGAAAGUAAACUGUCAUUGAGCCUUACAAACAGUUUUCAUCCCAAUUAUCCUAGUCAAGAGAGAAGGCUAUCCUAAGCUUUCAAAAGAUAAUUCAAUUAGCAUGAAGUUCCGAGAAUUUUCAAAGCUCAGGUGCUGACUCAGGUUUUUUGUCUUUUUUUUUUUUCUAGGAAUCAGAAAUGUCAUUCAUAGAUAAGUGCAGGGAGGAGCAAAAUAGAAAGACAGGAAAUUCUUGGCUCUGGGAUCUGGUAAUAAGGGAGCCUGCCACUUUCAAAUUACCUGCUGGAAUCCAGCUCAAGACAAUUAUAGAUGAAAAAUCUUCCUGAUCUUCAGCCACCUACCCAAAAUUGAUGUUGGUUUUACACUUCCUAAAGUUGGAGCAAUGAUUUUCAUGACUUAGGGAGUGGCAGAACCAUCAUUAUCCUAACAGCCAGGAUCCGAUUCUUCUUGAAGAACCGUCCGUCCUGUUGGGGAACUGCUUUGAUAAGCUCUUGGGGUUGGAAGAUGACACUUUCAGAGCACCCUUGUCAGCAGAAGCCAAGGAAACUGACAGCUAAACUUCUCUGCCACCUGCAUAAGAGGAAUUGCUGGGGAGUGGAAGGGGGACAUGGAAAGGAAAAGGAGAAGGUAACCACAGAGAACCCAGAUAGGAGAGAAAGAAAUUAGCCAACCCAGUAUGGCAAGACUGAGGCAUCUCACUGAACAAGACCACAGAACUUCCUCCAAAGACAGUGAGAAAAUAUCUGACCAGUUGAUGAAGAAUAGAGCGUGUGGAAGACAAAGGAGGAACAACCACUCUCAGCUUCUACCUGCCCCUGGGCUGAUGAAGGAGCCUGUAUCAGAGUGAAGGGAUGUACUCUCACCCAGCUACAGAUUGUGAUGAAUCCCUUAUCACCUGACUUUACACCCACUGUCCCCCAAACGCUGGAUUCGGCUGCGAUUGAGAAGAGGGCAAGACAAACUCCUCUGCCUUAUAGUCCUGUAUUC